rnacentral:rRNA from 1 species
UACGUAGGGGGCAAGCGUUGUCCGGAUUUAUUGGGCGUAAAGAGCGUGUAGGCGGCCAGACAGGUCAGCUGUGAAAACUCGAGGCUCAACCUCGAGACGUCGGUUGAAACCGUCUGGCUAGAGUCCGGAAGAGGAGAGUGGAAUUCCCGGUGUAGCGGUGAAAUGCGCAGAUAUCGGGAAGAACACCCGUGGCGAAGGCGGCUCUCUGGGCCGCAACUGACGCUGAGGAGCGAAAGCAUGGGGAGCGAACAGG